GCGGCUAUGGUGUAACGGUAACACUGAUGCUUCCCAAGCAUCCAUUACGGGUUCGAAUCCCGUUAGCCGCU
rnacentral:tRNA from 1 species